rnacentral:rRNA from 1 species
UACGUAGGGUGCAAGCGUUGUCCGGAAUUAUUGGGCGUAAAGAGCUCGUAGGCGGUUCGUCGCGUCGGCUGUGAAAACCCGGGGCUCAACCCCGGGCCUGCAGUCGAUACGGGCAGACUAGAGUGCGGUAGGGGAGACUGGAAUUCCUGGUGUAGCGGUGAAAUGCGCAGAUAUCAGGAGGAACACCGGUGGCGAAGGCGGGUCUCUGGACAGUUCCUGACGCUGAGGCACGAAGGUCAGGGGAGCAAACGGG